ensembl:snRNA U6 U6 spliceosomal RNA
GUGUUCACUUUGGCAGCACAUAGACUAAAAUUGGAAGGACACAGAGACGAUUCGCAUGGCCCCUGUGCAAGGAUGACAUGCAAAUUCGUGAAGCGUUCCACAUUUAA